rnacentral:misc_RNA from 1 species
GCGCCUGGGAACCCCUGGCCACAGGUUUUGACUUUUUCCUUCCUCUGUUUCCAAAUGCUGCUUGUCAGAAUGAUAUUUUUGUCCUUUUUUUUUUUUUUAAUAUGUUAAAAGUCAGUAAGGUUUUGUCGUUCUUACAAUUUUCAGCUGAAACAUUCUUUAACUUUAUUUACUUGAUUUGAUUGUUAGAUUCCUUGAAAAAGCCUUUUGUGAAUCUUUGUACUAUGUCCUUUGUGUAGAUAUUUUGUGCAUCCUUGCAGAACCAAUGUGAUAGCUUCUUUGUAUUUCAUAUGCCUAUCAAACAAUAGUGAUUUAUGUUUGUGCACAUUUGGUUUAGAUGUCUUAUUUAUGAUUUUUAAUCUCUUCCAUUUUGCAGUGGCCUCGUAUAUUCCGUGUA